rnacentral:rRNA from 1 species
CCUACGGGGUGCAGCAGUGAGGAAUAUUGGUCAAUGGACGAGAGUCUGAACCAGCCAAGUAGCGUGAAGGAUGACUGCCCUAUGGGUUGUAAACUUCUUUUAUAUGGGAAUAAAACGUUCCACGUGUGGGAUUUUGUAUGUACCAUAUGAAUAAGGAUCGGCUAACUCCGUGCCAGCAGCCGCGGUAAUACGGAGGAUCCGAGCGUUAUCCGGAUUUAUUGGGUUUAAAGGGAGCGUAGGUGGAUUGUUAAGUCAGUUGUGAAAGUUUGCGGCUCAACCGUAAAAUUGCAGUUGAAACUGACAGUCUUGAGUACAGUAGAGGUGGGCGGAAUUCGUGGUGUAGCGGUGAAAUGCUUAGAUAUCACGAAGAACUCCGAUUGCGAAGGCAGUUCACUGGACUGCAACUGACACUGAGGCUCGAAAGUGUGGGUAUCAAACAGGAUUAGAUACCCGAGUAGUC